rnacentral:rRNA from 1 species
UACGGGGGGAGCAAGCGUUGUUCGGAAUCACUGGGCGUAAAGGGAGUGUAGGCGGUUCGGUAAGUGGGAUGUGAAAUGCCCGGGCUCACCCCGGGACCUGCAUCCCAUACUGCUGAGCUUGAGUACAGGAGAGGGUGGGGGAAUUCCUGGUGUAGCGGUGAAAUGCGUAAAUAUCAGGAGGAACACCGGUGGCGAAGGCGCCCACCUGGCCUGCUACUGACGCUGAUGCUCGAAAGCUAGGGGAGCAAACGGG